rnacentral:rRNA from 1 species
ACUCCUACGGGAGGCAGCAGUGGGGAAUUUUGCGCAAUGGGCGAAAGCCUGACGCAGCAACGCCGCGUGAGUGAUGAAGGCUUUCGGGUCGUAAAGCUCUGUCAGGGGGAAAGAAGUGUAUUGUGGCUAAUAUCCACGAUACUUGACGGUACCCCCAAAGGAAGCACCGGCUAACUCCGUGCCAGCAGCCGCGGUAAUACGGAGGGUGCAAGCGUUGUUCGGAAUUAUUGGGCGUAAAGCGCGUGUAGGCGGUUUGCUAAGUCUGAUGUGAAAGCCCCGGGCUCAACCCGGGAAGUGCAUUGGAAACUGGCAGACUUGAAUACGGGAGAGGGUAGUGGAAUUCCUAGUGUAGGAGUGAAAUCCGUAGAUAUUAGGAGGAACACCGGUGGCGAAGGCGGCUGCCUGGACCGAUAUUGACGCUGAGACGCGAAAGCGUGGGUAGCAAACAGGAUUAGAUACCCUGGUAGUCCACGCCGUAAACGAUGAGAACUAGGUGUUGCGGGUA